rnacentral:rRNA from 1 species
AUUGAACGCUGGCGGCAGGCCUAACACAUGCAAGUCGAACGGUAACAGGAAGAAGCUUGCUUCUUUGCUGACGAGUGGCGGACGGGUGAGUAAUGUCUGGGAAACUGCCUGAUGGAGGGGGAUAACUACUGGAAACGGUAGCUAAUACCGCAUAACGUCGCAAGACCAAAGAGGGGGACCUUCGGGCCUCUUGCCAUCGGAUGUGCCCAGAUGGGAUUAGCUAGUAGGUGGGGUAACGGCUCACCUAGGCGACGAUCCCUAGCUGGUCUGAGAGGAUGACCAGCCACACUGGAACUGAGACACGGUCCAGACUCCUACGGGAGGCAGCAGUGGGGAAUAUGGCACAAUGGGCGCAAGCCUGAUGCAGCCAUGCCGCGUGUAUGAAGAAGGCCUUCGGGUUGUAAAGUACUUUCAGCGGGGAGGAAGGGAGUAAAGUUAAUACCUUUGCUCAUUGACGUUACCCGCAGAAGAAGCACCGGCUAACUCC